GGCCGUUUAAACUAAUUUAAUAAACUAUAAACAUAUUUGUUAGCCGGCUAAGCUAAUUUAACACUAAUAUUUUUGACAGCUAUAAAAAUUGUAAGAUAUUCACAAAAACACAACUAAGGAAAAAUACCAAAUAAAAAUACAGGAAGAGAGCUACGCUAAUAGAAAAGUAUGUCAAGUACAUAGCGACUUUCUCUUCUUGACAUGUCACCAAACAACCUCAUAAGCCUGCAACAGAAGCUAUGAAAGUAAACCCAGAAAGAAGCUAGCUAACAUUGUACUCUACAGACUGAAUCUUCAAUAAGAUACAACAACUGAUUAUCGGAGAGCUGUUUCUGGUGGUGCGCCGCCGCUGCGCUAGAUCUCUAUUUUCCGUUCAUUGUCGUUCAACCAUGAAUCACAGCUUUUAUCUCUUAGCAUGAAUCAGAGCCACAAAUGAAUCUUCUAAUUGGAUGUCUGUUAAGCUGUUAAUCAAAGCUUGCUUUUUUAUUUCUAUGUCGUCUCCUUCUCUCUCUCCAUUGAUGAAAUUGAUUAAAACGAAAAAGAAAUCGUUGUUUCUCUUUCUUUCAGAAAUUCAUAGGGCUAAAUAUGUCAUUUUAACCUUUUUCUCUCUCCUAUUUUCUCUAUUUUUCCAUUCUUGCAAAUUACUUAAUCUUUUCUUAUUUUGUUUGCAAAUC
rnacentral:lncRNA from 1 species